UGUUCUGUGGCUUAGUUGGUUAAAGCACCGAACUUGCGAUACAAAGUCGUGUGUUAGAAUCCCACCAGAACAA
rnacentral:tRNA from 1 species